GAUGAACGCUAGCUACAGGCUUAACACAUGCAAGUCGAGGGGAAACGACAUCGAAAGCUUGCUUUUGAUGGGCGUCGACCGGCGCACGGGUGAGUAACGCGUAUCCAACCUGCCCACCACUUGGGGAUAACCUUGCGAAAGUAAGACUAAUACCCAAUGACAUCUCUAGAAGACAUCUGAAAGAGAUUAAAGAUUUAUCGGUGAUGGAUGGGGAUGCGUCUGAUUAGCUUGUUGGCGGGGUAACGGCCCACCAAGGCGACGAUCAGUAGGGGUUCUGAGAGGAAGGUCCCCCACAUUGGAACUGAGACACGGUCCAAACUCCUACGGGAGGCAGCAGUGAGGAAUAUUGGUCAAUGGACGAGAGUCUGAACCAGCCAAGUAGCGUGCAGGAUGACGGCCCUAUGGGUUGUAAACUGCUUUUAUAAGGGAAUAAAGUGAGUCUCGUGAGACUUUUUGCAUGUACCUUAUGAAUAAGGACCGGCUAAUUCCGUG
rnacentral:rRNA from 1 species